AAAUGCAAGUCGAACGGCAGCGCGGGAGCAAUCCUGGCGGCGAGUGGCGAACGGGUGAGUAAUACAUCGGAACGUGCCCAAUCGUGGGGGAUAACGCAGCGAAAGCUGUGCUAAUACCGCAUAAGAUCUACGGAUGAAAGCAGGGGAUCGCAAGACCUUGCGCGAAUGGAGCGGCCGAUGGCAGAUUAGGUAGUUGGUGAGGUAAAGGCUCACCAAGCCUUCGAUCUGUAGCUGGUCUGAGAGGACGACCAGCCACACUGGGACUGAGACACGGCCCAGACUCCUACGGGAGGCAGCAGUGGGGAAUUUUGGACAAUGGGCGCAAGCCUGAUCCAGCCAUGCCGCGUGCAGGAUGAAGGCCUUCGGGUUGUAAACUGCUUUUGUACGGAACGAAAAGUCUCUUUCUAAUAAAGAGGGAUCAUGACGGUACCGUAAGAAUAAGCACCGGCUAACUACGUGCCAGCAGCCGCGGUAAUACGUAGGGUGCAAGCGUUAAUCGGAAUUACUGGGCGUAAAGCGUGCGCAGGCGGUUAUGUAAGACAGUUGUGAAAUCCCCGGGCUCAACCUGGGAACUGCAUCUGUGACUGCAUAGCUAGAGUACGGUAGAGGGGGAUGGAAUUCCGCGUGUAGCAGUGAAAUGCGUAGAUAUGCGGAGGAACACCGAUGGCGAAGGCAAUCCCCUGGACCUGUACUGACGCUCAUGCACGAAAGCGUGGGGAGCAAACAGGAUUAGAUACCCUGGUAGUCCACGCCCUAAACGAUGUCAACUGGUUGUUGGGUCUUCACUGACUCAGUAACGAAGCUAACGCGUGAAGUUGACCGCCUGGGGAGUACGGCCG
rnacentral:rRNA from 1 species